rnacentral:rRNA from 1 species
GACGAACGCUGGCGGCAUGCCUAACACAUGCAAGUCUAGGGGUAGCAAUACCACUGGCGCACGGGUGAGUAACACGUAGGUUAUCUGCCCCCAUCACAGACAUAACCCCGGGAAACCGGGGCUAAUAUCUGAUGAGGUCGCGAGAUCAAAAGCUUCGGCGGAUGGGGAUGAGCCUGCGGCUGAUUAGCUAGUUGGUGAGGUAAUGGCUCACCAAGGCGACGAUCAGUAGCUGGUCUGAGAGGACGAACAGCCACACUGGAAACUGAGACACGGUCCAGACUCCUACGGGAGGCAGCAGUGAGGAAUAUUGGUCAAUGGGGAGCAAUCCUGAACCAGCAAUGCCGCGUGUGGGAUGACAGGGCUUCGCCUUGUAAACCACUGUCGGACGGGACGAAAGGAGGCCUCGGGCCUCUGGGACGGUACCGUCAAAGG